GGUACUAAAGCCAGGUUCUUAAGCCCCUACAGGCUGCUGUAGGGGCAAUCUUUGCUCAGGAACGCCCCAUCAGCCUGGCUGCACUGCAGUACAUCUGCUGCACAUCUAAUUCCAUCCUGGCAUCUGCUUCUCAGAAGACCCAAGCUGACAUACCCACAGUGACAGAACAGGAAUUUGAAGCCAGGUCUGUCUAACCCCAAAGCCCAUCAAUCUCUGUCUAACCACAGAGACAGAUUAAUUGAUCAAUAAAUUAUGUUGCUAAGUCCAAUAA